rnacentral:rRNA from 1 species
AUUGAACGCUGGCGGCAGGCCUAACACAUGCAAGUCGAACGAGUGGCGGACGGGUGAGUAAUGUCUGGGCAACUGCCCGAUGGAGGGGGCUAACUACUGGAAACGGUAGAUAAUACCGCAUACCAUCGGAUGUGCCCAGAUGGGAUUAGCUAGUAGGUGGGGUAAGGGCGCACCUAGGCGACGAUCCCUAGCUGGUCUGAGAGGAUGACAAGCCACACGGGAAAUGCGACACGGUCCAGACGCCGACGGGAGGCAGCAGUGGGGAAUAUUGCACAAGGGGCGCAAGACUGAUGCAGCCAGGCCGCGUGUAGGAAGAAGGCCUUCGGGUUGUAAAGUACUUGCAGCGAGGAGGCGGUACUCGCAGAAGAAGCACCGGCUAACUCCGUGCCAGCAGCCGCGGUAAUAC